rnacentral:rRNA from 1 species
GAGUUUGAUCAUGGCUCAGAUUGAACGCUGGCGGCAGGCCUAACACAUGCAAGUCGAACGGUAACAGGAAGCAGCUUGCUGUUUCGCUGACGAGUGGCGGACGGGUGAGUAAUGUCUGGGAAACUGCCUGAUGGAGGGGGAUAACUACUGGAAACGGUAGCUAAUACCGCAUAACGUCGCAAGACCAAAGAGGGGGACCUUCGGGCCUCUUGCCAUCGGAUGUGCCCAGAUGGGAUUAGCUAGUAGGUGGGGUAACGGCUCACCUAGGCGACGAUCCCUAGCUGGUCUGAGAGGAUGACCAGCCACACUGGAACUGAGACACGGUCCAGACUCCUACGGGAGGCAGCAGUGGGGAAUAUUGCACAAUGGGCGCAAGCCUGAUGCAGCCAUGCCGCGUGUAUGAAGAAGGCCUUCGGGUUGUAAAGUACUUUCAGCGGGGAGGAAGGGAGUAAAGUUAAUACCUUUGCUCAUUGACGUUACCCGCAGAAGAAGCACCGGCUAACUCCGUGCCAGCAGCCGCGGUAAUACGGAGGGUGCAAGCGUUAAUCGGAAUUACUGGGCGUAAAGCGCACGCAGGCGGUUUGUUAAGUCAGAUGUGAAAUCCCCGGGCUCAACCUGGGAACUGCAUCUGAUACUGGCAAGCUUGAGUCUCGUAGAGGGGGUAGAAUUCCAGGUGUAGCGGUGAAAUGCGUAGAGAUCUGGAGGAAUACCGGUGGCGAAGGCGGCCCCCUGGACGAAGACUGACGCUCAGGUGCGAAAGCGUGGGGAGCAAACAGGAUUAGAUACCCUAGUAGUCCACGCCGUAAGCGAUGUCGACUUGGAGGUUGUGCCCUUGAGGCGUGGCUUCCGGAGCUAACGCGUUAAGUCGACCGCCUGGGGAGUACGGCCGCAAGGUUAAAACUCAAAUGAAUUGACGGGGGCCCGCACAAGCGGUGGAGCAUGUGGUUUAAUUCGAUGCAACGCGAAGAACCUUACCUGGUCUUGACAUCCACGGAAGUUUUCAGAGAUGAGAAUGUGCCUUCGGGAACCGUGAGACAGGUGCUGCAUGGCUGUCGUCAGCUCGUGUUGUGAAAUGUUGGGUUAAGUCCCGCAACGAGCGCAACCCUUAUCCUUUGUUGCCAGCGGUCCGGCCGGGAACUCAAAGGAGACUGCCAGUGAUAAACUGGAGGAAGGUGGGGAUGACGUCAAGUCAUCAUGGCCCUUACGACCAGGGCUACACACGUGCUACAAUGGCGCAUACAAAGAGAAGCGACCUCGCGAGAGCAAGCGGACCUCAUAAAGUGCGUCGUAGUCCGGAUUGGAGUCUGCAACUCGACUCCAUGAAGUCGGAAUCGCUAGUAAUCGUGGAUCAGAAUGCCACGGUGAAUACGUUCCCGGGCCUUGUACACACCGCCCGUCACACCAUGGGAGUGGGUUGCAAAAGAAGUAGGUAGCUUAACCUUCGGGAGGGCGCUUACCACUUUGUGAUUCAUGACUGGGGUGAAGUCGUAACAAGGUAACCGUAGGGGAACCUGCGGUUGGAUCACC